GAGGAAGUUAACAGCCCAAGGGGAUGGUUAAGAGCCCGGGUUACAGCACUGGGGAGGCAGUGGGAGCCUGGGGGGCUACCCAAGGGGGAUCCUGAGGGGCUUGCAGUCAAGGAGAGGGAAAUGCAGCAGGUGGAGUGGGAGAAGGGGGAGGAUGAUAACCAUGCAACAGUGGGAGGUUUGCUGCUUGGGGUUGGAAAAGAGUGAGAGAGCUGGGGGGUGGCGGGUUUGCAACUGGGAAGGGGGUAGGUUUCCAGCCUAGGGAAGAUGCAGUAGGGGCUGCCACAGAUUUGCAGUGAAGGCAAGGGGUAGAGGAAGCAGGGGAAAAGGGGAGAUUUGUAGGUGGGGUAAAGGCAGUAAGGAGGUUGCAGCAGAAGGGAAAUGAAGCAGGGUGGGUGAGUGUGAAGGGGGAGGGGGUUGAAGAAGGGAAAUGGGGGAGGUUUGCUGCCUGGGAGGAAGGGAAUGGGGGAGGUUUGCUGCCCGGCUGAGCGGGAAAGGAAGGAGCGCCCGUGGCCAACUCCAUAAGGUGGAAGCAAGAACUGGGAAGGUAGAUGGAGCCUGAGACUGAUGAAUAUCUGGAAAAUAUGAGAUUCACACACAAACCAAGAUAAACGUAGACAAUGCCAUUGUGAUGCCAACCUUGUCAUAUGCCUCUGAAACUUCGUAAAUGCUAGAAAACCACAACAGGAAACUUAAGGCAUUCCAUCAGAGACGCUUGCAGAGAGUAAUUGGUGUCUGCUGGUGUGAUAAAGUAAACAACGCUGAUCUGUUACAAAGGACUGACCAGCAUACCGUACAGACAAUGAUUCAAGAAAGAAGGCUGAAGUGGUUUGGACAUGUUGUAUGGAUGUCAAAAAAAAACUAUGCUCGUAGUCAAAUUCUUGACUGGAUAUUACCUGGUGGAAGACGGAAAAGAGGAGGAUAACAGAUGACAUAACAAAACCAAUGAGGAAAAAUACUGCUGUCAUGGAAAAAGACUAAAAUGGGGCAAGAAAUGUGGCACUAGACAGAUGGAGGUGGAAAGACUGAGUUGCCUCAUGUGUCACAAGGCAAAAGAGCAUCUAAUAUAUAAUGCAAAUAGUAUGUAGCCUGUUAAUACUGUAAAUUCUGUGGAUUUGGGCAAGUCACCCAACUUCUACCUUAAUUACACCAUCUGUAAAACAUGGAUAAUAUGUAACUUCCCAGGAUUAGUGAGAGUAUUAGCUGGGUUUAAAAAUCACUUUGACGACAAAAAGUAUUAGUUGUGUGUUAUACUCAGUUACCUGAAACUAUAACCUUAUCUACCCCAGAUAUUUUUCAUUAUAAAGGUAUCACUCUGUAGUAGGAGUUUCUUAAAUAUGAAUGCAUUUAUUGAGCACCGACAGUGUCUUCAGCCCUGUAUGGAUGAAGACACUUCCUGCCCCAACAGAGCGUACAGUCUAGUUCAGAUACAUUAUAGUAAAGAACAUAACAGAGGUUGCAGAUUUUUUUAAACCUUGUUUAAAGAAAAAGAAAAGGCCACACCGCAUUGUUAAAAAGCUUUGUGGAAGGAGUAUCUUUCAGAGGAAUUGGCUUUACAGGGAGGGAGUGUCUAACCUCAGAGGUUAGACACAAGUGGAAGAAAGAGAUAAAAGAGGCAUUUAGGAAGACCAUAGGCGAUAUGGAAAUGGUUGGCGAUAGGAGGAAAUGAGAGCAGACUGUCAUUGAGUUAUGCAGAGCCUUAAAGACUAUGGUGGGAGGUUUGAAACUGAGGAGGAAGGCAAGAAGCUAAUUAAGAGAUUCAUACAGGAGAGUAGCAUGGCCUGAGUGGUGAGGAAGGAAGGUUAUUCGUAGGGAUGUAGAGGAAGCAGUGAAAGGCUAUGGCCAGAGUUUGGAUACGAAACAAUGAGAGUGAAGACUAUUAUAACAAGGUUGUGAGCCUGACUGGCGGGAAGAUAGUGGAGUUGUCUAUAGUGAUAGAGAUGGGGCUUUUGAAUCUGAGAUGUUCCAAAGAACUGAAGAUUUAAUUAAAAAAAAAAUCACUUAAUUUACAUUCUAUGAAAUAUUUCACAAUUAAAAAGUGCUUUGACUUAUAUUUCAUUUAUUACUAUCCAUAAAAAAUAAAGUUAUGAUUUAUUUUCUCAUACAUUUCAUUUAAAGUUAGGUAUGGGAAUAUAUAAGAGA